GAUGAACGCUAGCGGCAGGCUUAAUACAUGCAAGUCGAGGGGUAAGGUCUCUUCGGAGAUACACGACCGGCGAACGGGUGCGUAACGCGUACACAACCUACCUUUUAGAGGGGGAUAGGCUUUAGAAAUGAAGAUUAAUACCCCAUAGAAUUACAAAUAGGCAUCUAUUAUUAAUUAAAGAUUUAUCGCUAAGAGAUGGGUGUGCGUUCCAUUAGCUAGUUGGUAGGGUAACGGCCUACCAAGGCAACGAUGGAUAGCUGUUCUGAGAGGAAGAUCAGCCACACGGGCACUGAGACACGGGCCCGACUCCUACGGGAGGCAGCAGUAAGGAAUAUUGGGCAAUGGAGGCAACUCUGACCCAGCCAUGCCGCGUGCAGGAAGACUGCCCUAUGGGUUGUAAACUGCUUUUAUAUAGGAAGAAUCGCAUUUAUUUAUAAGUGUUUGACGGUACUAUAAGAAUAAGCACCGGCUAACUCCG
rnacentral:rRNA from 1 species